rnacentral:rRNA from 1 species
AUGACGAACGCUGGCGGCGUGCUUAACACAUGCAAGUCGAACGGAAAGGCCCUGCUUUUGUGGGGUGCUCGAGUGGCGAACGGGUGAGUAACACGUGAGUAACCUGCCCUUGACUUUGGGAUAACUUCAGGAAACUGGGGCUAAUACCGGAUAGGAGCUCCUGCUGCAUGGUGGGGGUUGGAAAGUUUCGGCGGUUGGGGAUGGACUCGCGGCUUAUCAGCUUGUUGGUGGGGUAGUGGCUUACCAAGGCUUUGACGGGUAGCCGGCCUGAGAGGGUGACCGGCCACAUUGGGACUGAGAUACGGCCCAGACUCCUACGGGAGGCAGCAGUGGGGAAUAUUGCACAAUGGGCGGAAGCCUGAUGCAGCAACGCCGCGUGCGGGAUGACGGCCUUCGGGUUGUAAACCGCUUUCGCCUGUGACGAAGCGUGAGUGACGGUAAUGGGUAAAGAAGCACCGGCUAACUACGUGCCAGCAGCCGCGGUGAUACGUAGGGUGCGAGCGUUGUCCGGAUUUAUUGGGCGUAAAGGGCUCGUAGGUGGUUGAUCGCGUCGGAAGUGUAAUCUUGGGGCUUAACCCUGAGCGUGCUUUCGAUACGGGUUGACUUGAGGAAGGUAGGGGAGAAUGGAAUUCCUGGUGGAGCGGUGGAAUGCGCAGAUAUCAGGAGGAACACCAGUGGCGAAGGCGGUUCUCUGGGCCUUUCCUGACGCUGAGGAGCGAAAGCGUGGGGAGCGAACAGGCUUAGAUACCCCUGGUAGUCCACGCUGUAAACGGUGGGUACUAGGUGUGGGGUCCAUUCCACGGGUUCCGUGCCGUAGCUAACGCUUUAAGUACCCCGCCUGGGGAGUACGGCCGCAAGGCUAAAACUCAAAGGAAUUGACGGGGCCCCGCACAAGCGGCGGAGCAUGCGGAUUAAUUCGAUGCAACGCGUAGAACCUUACCUGGGUUUGACAUGGAUCGGGAGUGCUCAGAGAUGGGUGUGCCUCUUUUGGGGUCGGUUCACAGGUGGUGCAUGGCUGUCGUCAGCUCGUGUCGUGAGAUGUUGGGUUAAGUCCCGCAACGAGCGCAACCCUUGUUCACUGUUGCCAGCACGUUAUGGUGGGGACUCAGUGGAGACCGCCGGGGUCAACUCGGAGGAAGGUGGGGAUGACGUCAAGUCAUCAUGCCCCUUAUGUCCAGGGCUUCACGCAUGCUACAAUGGCUGGUACAGAGAGUGGCGAGCCUGUGAGGGUGAGCGAAUCUCGGAAAGCCGGUCUCAGUUCGGAUUGGGGUCUGCAACUCGACCUCAUGAAGUCGGAGUCGCUAGUAAUCGCAGAUCAGCAACGCCGCGGUGAAUACGUUCCCGGGGCUUGUACACACCGCCCGUCAAGUCAUGAAAGUUGGUAACACCCGAAGCCGGUGGCCUAACCGUUGUGGGGGAGCCGUCGAAGGU